rfam:Inquilinus limosus MP06 Ilimosus_MP06_contig00785, whole genome shotgun sequence.
GCGGGAGAUCGGCGCGGGCGUGUCCCUCGCCAACCCGGUCAGGUCCGGAAGGAAGCAGCCGUAACGAGUUUCGAUACGGGUCGCCGCCGGUCUCCCACCUU